UACGAAGGGGGCUAGCGUUGCUCGGAAUCACUGGGCGUAAAGGGUGCGUAGGCGGGUCUUAAGUCAGGGGUGAAAUCCUGGAGCUCAACUCCAGAACUGCCUUUGAUACUGAAGAUCUUGAGUUCGGGAGAGGUGAGUGGAACUGCGAGUGUAGAGGUGAAAUUCGUAGAUAUUAGGAAGAACACCAGUGGCGAAGGCGGCUCACUGGUCCGGUACUGACGCUGAGGUGCGAAAGCGUGGGGAGCAAACAGG
rnacentral:rRNA from 1 species